rnacentral:rRNA from 1 species
AGGGUUCGAUUCUGGCUCAGGACGAACGCUGGCGGCGUGCUUAACACAUGCAAGUCGAACGAGAAGACUUUGGAUAGCUUGCUAACUGAAGUUGGAAAGUGGCGAACGGGUGAGUAACGCGUAGGCAACCAACCUUGCACAGGGGGAUAGCCCCGGGAAACCGGGAUUAAUACCGCAUAAGACCACAUUGUCGCAUGACAAAGGGGUAAAAGCGAGUAAGCGGUGCAAGACGGGCCUGCGUCUGAUUAGGCAGUUGGCGGGGUAACGGCCCACCAAACCAACGAUCAGUAGCCGACCUGAGAGGGUGAUCGGCCACAUUGGGACUGAGACACGGCCCAA